AUUGAACGCUGGCGGCAGGCCUAACACAUGCAAGUCGAGCGGAUGAAGGGAGCUUGCUCCUGGAUUCAGCGGCGGACGGGUGGGUAAUUCCUAGGAAUCUGCCUGGUCUUUGGGGAUAACGUCCGUAAACGGGCGCUAAUACCGCAUACGUUCUGAGGGAGAAAGUGGGGGAUCUUCGGACCUCACGCUAUCAGAUGAGCCUAGGUCGGAUUAGCUAGUUGGUGGGGUAAAGGCCUACCAAGGCGACGAUCCGUAACUGGUCUGAGAGGAUGAUCAGUCACACUGGAACUGAGACACGGUCCAGACUCCUACGGGAGGCAGCAGUGGGGAAUAUUGCGCAAUGGGCGAAAGCCUGAUCCAGCAAUGCCGCGUGAGUGAAGAAGGUCUUCGGAUUGUAAAGCACUUUAAGUAGGGAGGAAGGACAGUAAGAUAAUACCUUGCUGUUUUGACGUUACCAACAGAGUAAGCACCGGCUAACUUCGUG
rnacentral:rRNA from 1 species